UACGGAGGGGGCCAGCGUUGUUCGGAAUCAUUGGGCGUAAAGGGCGCGUAGGCGGCUUGGUAAGUCCGUUGUGAAAUCCCUCGGCUCAACCGAGGAACUGCGACGGAUACUGCUUGGCUUGAGUCCCGGAGAGGGUAGCGGAAUUCCCAGUGUAGCGGUGAAAUGCGUAGAUAUUGGGAGGAACAUCGGUGGCGAAGGCGGCUACCUGGACGGGUACUGACGCUGAGGCGCGAAAGCUAGGGGAGCAAACAGG
rnacentral:rRNA from 1 species